GGACCUACGGGAGGCAGCAGUGAGGAAUAUUGGUCAAUGGGCGGAAGCCUGAGCCAGCCAAGUCGCGUGAGGGAAUAAGGCCCUACGGGUCGUAAACCUCUUUUGCCGGGGAGCAAGGGCCGGGACGCGUCCCGGCCCGGAGAGUACCGGGAGCAAAACGAUCGGCUAACUCCGUGCCAGCAGCCGCGGUAAUACGGAGGAUGCGAGCGUUAUCCGGAUUUAUUGGGUUUAAAGGGUGCGUAGGCGGGCUUUUAAGUCAGCGGUAAAAAGUCGGGGCUCAAGCCCGUCCGGCCGUGGACACUGGG
rnacentral:rRNA from 1 species